CCUUCGACUGUGUGCGGUUUAUUGUCGUCUCACAAAUUGUAGCUGAAGGCCUGAUUUUCUUGAAAAUAUACUAGUUAAUAUUCAAGGAUGUUUUAUAAAUGUGACAGGUGAGACCUGAGUCUGGGAACCACCCCUGGUGGGCGGAGCUGGUCUUUGCUCCUUUCAUAAGCUCAGGUGUGGAAGCUGCUUGGUCCAAGUUGGUGUUUUUAAUUUCUUUCCAUGAAAGCUUGAUGCGGGUCCCCCUAAACUUCUGUCAGAACGGUAGGUUACACAACAAUGUACCACUUGAGCUCUGGUUGUUGUGGCCGAGGUUUACAGUUAUUUGCACCCUUGUAGGUGGGAAACAUUGCGUUCCCGUGAGAACAGUGUAGUGGACUUCACCGCCACUUACCCACAUUUAUUAGGGUGUGACGUGAACUUGUGGACAGAGUACCGAGCUGCUGCUUUGCCAAGUGGAUUUCUGGCUGCGGGCAAAGGACCCGACACAUCAGAGUGUUUUAAUUUGUUUUAUACUGGUGUAAGUCGACAGACUGUGACUGCUGCGGCUGUCGAUUUUGUUUGUUUCUUGUUUUAUUUUUCUGUGUCAGUAGGCACCACAGAGAUUGGUUCUUUUAGUAUCUUAACCCCUUUUUUUAAAUAUAUAUAUAUAUAUAUAUAUCUCACUGACUUUAAUUAUUAAACAUUUGCACAUAAAUAAGUGACGUCAUAUUCAGUACUUUUGACAGUUCACUCUUCGGCCGCUCCAUCUUAUUAGGGAAAUUCCACAUACAUAAAUGUAAGUUUCAAAACUCAACCCCAUCAUUUAAUUUGUUUUUGAUUGAAAUUGAAUAUUAGUUAAACUCUCUUAAAUUAACUUCCAAUAAAAAAGGUUUAUCAUUGAUUGAAGUUCAUUCAGAAAUGUUUAAGGAAUGAGCUGUCACAACUUUCAAGUACAAAGUUGUUAUGAAGUCUGUCACAUUCCCCCCUUUUUUUCUUUUUUUAUCCUUUAUUUAUUUAUCCUUCUUAUUUCAUUGUGCUGUAUAUUGUUACUCUUAUUUGCCUUGUAUGUCUACUGUACAAACUGAACUGGAAUGACUGACUGUUCGCUUUAUAAGUUCAAUAAAG
ensembl:lncRNA